rnacentral:rRNA from 1 species
UGACAAGUCGAACGAUGAUGCCCAGCUUGCUGGGCGGAUUAGUGGCGAACGGGUGAGUAAUACGUGAGUAACCUGCCCUUGACUCUGGGAUAAGCCUGGGAAACUGGGUCUAAUACUGGAUACUACCUCGCACCGCAUGGUGGGUGGUGGAAAGGGUUUUACUGGUUUUGGAUGGGCUCACGGCCUAUCAGCUUGUUGGUGGGGUAAUGGCUCACCAAGGCGACGACGGGUAGCCGGCCUGAGAGGGUGACCGGCCACACUGGGACUGAGACACGGCCCAGACUCCUACGGGAGGCAGCAGUGGGGAAUAUUGCACAAUGGGCGGAAGCCUGAUGCAGCGACGCCGCGUGAGGGAUGACGGCCUUCGGGUUGUAAACCUCUUUCAGUAGGGAAGAAGCGAGAGUGACGGUACCUGCAGAAGAAGCGCCGGCUAACUACGUGCCAGCAGCCGCGGUAAUACGUAGGGCGCAAGCGUUGUCCGGAAUUAUUGGGCGUAAAGAGCUCGUAGGCGGUUUGUCGCGUCUGCUGUGAAAGCCCGGGGCUCAACCCCGGGUCUGCAGUGGGUACGGGCAGACUAGAGUGCAGUAGGGGAGACUGGAAUUCCUGGUGUAGCGGUGAAAUGCGCAGAUAUCAGGAGGAACACCGAUGGCGAAGGCAGGUCUCUGGGCUGUUACUGACGCUGAGGAGCGAAAGCAUGGGGAGCGAACAGGAUUAGAUACCCUGGUAGUCCAUGCCGUAAACGUUGGGCACUAGGUGUGGGGGACAUUCCACGUUUUCCGCGCCGUAGCUAACGCAUUAA